GCCACGGUGGUCUAGCGGUCAGAACACUAGCCUUGUAAUCCUGGGGUCUCGGGUUCGAUUCCCGGCGGUGCCC
rfam:Zootermopsis nevadensis contig26876, whole genome shotgun sequence.